GUGCCCCCUCAGUGCCUCACACGGCGUUCUUCGCACACACCUUCCCGUGACUACCCCCAGCCCGACCGAAAGGGCAGCCAAGGGACGUGGUGGAGUCCCUGUCCCUGGGGCUGUUUAGGGGAAGAGUGGACGUGGCAUUCAGUGCCAUGGUCUGGUUGACAAGGUGAUGUUGGGGCGUAGGUUGAACUUGCUGAUCUCAGAGGCCUUUUCUGACCUCAUUGAUCCUGUGGUUCUGUGAUCUCCCCUUGUCUCUGCCUUAUCAAAUCUCUCGCUCCUGUUUGUGCCCCUCGCUGUGUUGUGGAGGACACUGAUGGUGUGGCUGCCUCCCCAAAACCUUGAGCUGUCCAUGUGAAGGCGAGUUGUCCUGGUUGAGAUGCCAUGUCUGAGGGAACUGAGCACCUGCAGCACCCCAAAAAUUAAACUACAUGAAUUACACUACAUAAAUCAAUUACUUGAUUUCUUAAAAUUCAUUCCAAUGGAAGGGAGGAGGAAAAUCUCCAGAGAUUUCACAGGUUCACACAAAACAGUUCCUGCGCCUUUUUUCAUCAGCAUUACACUUGCCACCAUCAUCUGCCAAAUGCUUCUCUACAUCACGUAGAUGGAAAAGAAACACCACAAAAUGAUCCCUGUCAAUCCCCCAGAGAUGGAUUUUCCAGGUACUGGGAGGUGAGAAGAACCAUGGCUGAGGAAGACCAUGUGCUUCUACCCAAAUACCUCUUCAUGUGUGAUUCCUCAGGUUCCUAUGAUACCCUUCUUUCAUCUGAGCUCUGAAAAGCAAUGGGCAACUUGGUUUGGACCUUCUCAAGUCCAUCAUCACCACUAAGAAGUAGAACUACUAGUGAGAACAAGGAAACAAAGCACCUUAAUCCCCACCCUUCUAUCUCAUCCAUAGCUUUUUUAAGCAAAACUCCAAACCCAUGGGGUACUUCACAGAACAAAAAGAUGAGUUCUGAUUCCCAGUGGACCUUAAGUUCUAUUUUUAGAGAUGAUGUAACAUCACAGAGAAGUGUGAGGAAGGGCUUGAUGAUCCUGUUGUAUUUUGUUCCCCUUCCGUCCUUGAAGAUCCCUUUGCUACAGGCCCGUUGGAGGAUUUUUUGGGGAAGUAGAAUGAAACUGGCCAAGGCCUGAGCGUGACAUGAAAGAACUGAAGGCAGGAAUCGUGUCAAGUGAGACACACAUUAAGGCAGCAUCACAACUAGAACAAAUGUGCUAAAAAAGACAGGAAAAUACUGUAGAAUUUAUGAGAACAUAUGGGACUUAGACAUUCUCAGAAAGGCUGAAAACGGCACCAGCACUCGUCUCACCACCAAUCACACAGAUCCCAAAUCACAGAACAGGUUUCUACAAACCUCAUCUCUGUUCUUUUUACAUAGCAACAGAGGAAACUCUGAGAAGCUGGAGCUGACAAUAAUCAGUGCUAAAACCUGCAAAGGAACUGGCCAGACGGCAGCACUGGGAGCAAGCAGCAGGGGGAGAAGCCCACUGAGAACUACAAAGGCCCCUCUCCUGCAGGGCCCGAGCUGCAGCAGAGGGGAGCAAAGCAAAGCUUUUUGUCCCUCUGAGCUCCUCCUCUUUAAUGCACCAAGCUGAAGGGAAGUGAAUUGGGAAGUGUCACAGUGAGAAUUCCUGAGAAAUUCCAUCUCUGGGAGAAAAAAAUUCCAUGUGUUGUUUCUUAAAAUAUUUCCAUGCUUUUUUUCAUUCUUGUACAGGUUUAUAAGGAAGAAAAUCUAGAUUUUGCAGAGAUCUUUGGCCUAAUUCUCCACCCUCUGAUGAAGAGGGCAGGGAACACAGUCAUUCCAUAUAUAUGCACUUCACACUGGGAUUUUAAAACACUAAGUUUUUUGACACCAAAGCAGCUACAGGCAGGUAUGUGCUCCUGCACAUCAGCAAAUGUUAGCCUACAAAGCCAACUCCAGCCCCUUUAGAACUGACUGUUAUUUUGCACUGAGUCCAAAGCAAGAACUGAAAGCAAACAGUAAUUUGGAGGUGUGAACAAGUGUGUCUGGUUACUGGAUCAGAUCCUGCAGGUCUGAGUGCUUUACUCAGGCUUUGCUCUUCAUUAAUUCUUUCUUAGCCCUGGGAAUAGAAAAUACCUUUUGCCUACAGCCCUGCCGGUGCUGUUCCUUCCCUGUUCAUGAUGCUGAUCAUUCCGUCUGUUCCCCAAAUAGCUUCCAAAUCUCCUAGUUCACAACGUAGUAACUCCUAUCCUCAUCAGACCUUUUUUUGGGUUUUUUUUUCCCUCCUGACUGUAAACCACACAAUUUCUCUUUGCUUUCCUUUCUGGUCCCACAGCCCAUAUUCCAAAGCCUUUCUGAACAGUGAAGUUCUGCACUGAAUGGAAAUUCCCAGUUCUGCUCAAUGAUAUGGACUGGAGAUGUUCAGAAGCCCCGAGAGGUGAGCGGGAAGGUUUCCCUUCUAAAUAUGAGCAGAGCUUCAGCCAGUGUUUAAGAGGACUAAAAGAUGUCAAGAUUUCAUACUAAAACUCACCUUUCCCAAGAUGAUUUCCCCAGGCAUCAUCCAUUUAAGAACAACAGAUGCUGCGGAUAUGAAAAACCACUGACACUUUAGGGAGUGAGCAAAGUGGACACUGUGUGCCAAGAGACAGCAGGAGAAGAUCAAAGAGUUCCAGCUUUCAGUGUCUCUUUACACAGAUGGACCUGGGAGCAGCAGAGGACACUGUCCCACUCCUAGAUCCACCUCCUACAUGGUGGAUCCCUACACAGUGUUACAUGGAUAUUCUAAAUAUAUUCUGCCACUCACAAGAAAGUGCUGCAGUUAUAAAAGCAGUGCCCUAGCCUUGAGGAACAGUGGCAGGAGGCUUCAUACUCCUGGGUUUUCAGAUAUCCAGUUUUGAUUUGCAUCUAGAGCCUUUUAGUGAUGUGUGGAAUGGUAUUUUAGAUGUAGGAAUGCCCACUAACAUCCUCAGAAGUCUGCAGCACAGAGCAGCACCAUUGUGUAAGACAAUAGGUGAAUGUGGCUUUGUACAGCAGAGAUUCAAAUACAGGCACAUCCUCAAAUAACAAAACACAGACCCUUACCCAUGAUAAACGGUGAGGGGUUUAAAACUGAUGAGUCUUCAGUUUCUCAAGCAGCUUUCUGAGUAUUUAAUUUGUUCUACCUGCAAAAGUUCAUUCUUUCUGACCUGAACAGACACCACUUCCUUUUCUCAGCAUGACUAGUUACAUGACAUGCUCUUCCCAGAGAUAACUGCUGGCUUUAUUUUUAUUGGAAAUGAUGGAUGCAGCAGCUGAUAAGUAAAAAAGGGCAAUUUAGCCAGGGAGUGUUACUGCAUUUGUCAUAUGAGGACAGCAAAUGAUUUAUGGUAUCUUGAAAAGUUAAGUUUUAAUGAAUGUCCUGGGAAGGCACGAGCCUAAGAGUGACUGGUUCCAGCUGUGAGACCAAAGCAGCAUUGCUAAUACUUGUCUUAAAAAGUG